GAUGAACGCUGGCGGCGUGCCUAAUACAUGCAAGUCGAGCGAACGGACGAGAAGCUUGCUUCUCUGAUGUUAGCGGCGGACGGGUGAGUAACACGUGGAUAACCUACCUAUAAAACUGGGAUAACUUCGGGAAACCGGAGCUAAUACCGGAUAAUAUUUUGAACCGCAUGGUUCAAAAGUGAAAGACGGUCUUGCUGUCACUUAUAGAUGGAUCCGCGCUGCAUUAGCUAGUUGGUAAGGUAACGGCUUACCAAGGCAACGAUGCAUAGCCGACCUGAGAGGGUGAUCGGCCACACUGGAACUGAGACACGGUCCAGACUCCUACGGGAGGCAGCAGUAGGGAAUCUUCCGCAAUGGGCGAAAGCCUGACGGAGCAACGCCGCGUGAGUGAUGAAGGUCUUCGGAUCGUAAAACUCUGUUAUUAGGGAAGAACAUAUGUGUAAGUAACUGUGCACAUCUUGACGGUACCUAAUCAAAAAGCCACGGCUAACUACGUG
rnacentral:rRNA from 1 species